GACGAACGCUGGCGGCGUGCUUAACACAUGCAAGUCGAACGGAAAGGCCCUGCUUUUGUGGGGUGCUCGAGUGGCGAACGGGUGAGUAACACGUGAGUAACCUGCCCUUGACUUUGGGAUAACUUCAGGAAACUGGGGCUAAUACCGGAUCGGAGCUCCUGCUGCAUGGUGGGGGUUGGAAAUUUUCGGCGGUUGGGGAUGGACUCGCGGCUUAUCAGCUUGUUGGUGGGGUAGUGGCUUACCAAGGCUUUGACGGGUAGCCGGCCUGAGAGGGUGACCGGCCACAUUGGGACUGAGAGACGGCCCAGACUCCUACGGGAGGCAGCAGUGGGGAAUAUUGCACAAUGGGCGGAAGCCUGAUGCAGCAACGCCGCGUGCGGGAUGACGGCCUUCGGGUUGUAAACCGCUUUCGCCUGUGACGAAGCGUGAGUGACGGUAAUGGGUAAAGAAGCACCGGCUAACUACGUG
rnacentral:rRNA from 1 species